UACGUAGGGUGCAAGCAUUGUCCGGAUUUAUUGGGCGUAAAGAGCUCGUAGGCAGCUCGGCGCGUCGGAUGUGAAAACACGCAACUUAACUGCGUGCCUGCAUUCGAUACGGCCGAGCUAGAGGAUGGCAGGGGAAACUGGAAUUCCUGGUGUAGCGGUGGAAUGCGCAGAUAUCAGGAGGAACACCGGUGGCGAAGGCGGGUUUCUGGGCCAUUACUGACGCUGAGGAGCGAAAGCGUGGGGAGCGAACAGGAUUAGAUACCCUGGUAGUCCACGCCGUAAACGAUGGGCACUAGAUGUAGGGAGCAUUCCACGCUCUCUGUGUCGUAGCUAACGCAUUAAGUGCCCCGCCUGGGGAGUACGGCCGCAAGGCUAAA
rnacentral:rRNA from 1 species